rnacentral:rRNA from 1 species
UGGGGAAUUUUGGACAAUGGGCGAAAGCCUGAUCCAGCAAUGCCGCGUGUGUGAAGAAGGCCUUCGGGUUGUAAAGCACUUUUGUCCGGAAAGAAAUCCUUGGCUCUAAUACAGUCGGGGGAUGACGGUACCGGAAGAAUAAGCACCGGCUAACUACGUGCCAGCAGCCGCGGUAAUACGUAGGGUGCAAGCGUUAAUCGGAAUUACUGGGCGUAAAGCGUGCGCAGGCGGUUUGCUAAGACCGAUGUGAAAUCCCGGGCUCAACCUGGGAACUGCAUUGGUGACUGGCAGGCUAGAGUAUGGCAGAGGGGGGUAGAAUUCCACGUGUAGCAGUGAAAUGCGUAGAGAUGUGGAGGAAUACCGAUGGCGAAGGCAGCCCCUGGCCAAUACUGACGCUCAUGCACGAAAGCGUGGGGAGCAAACAGGAUUAGAUACCCUGGUAGUCCACGCCCUAAACGAUGUCAACUAGUUGUUGGGGAUUCAUUUCCUUAGUAACGUAGCUAACGCGUGAAGUUGACCGCCUGGGGAGUACGGUCGCAAGAUUAAAACUCAAAUGAAUUGAC